rnacentral:sRNA from 1 species
AUUUUGAUAUUAGUUUGUCUUGUCUCUUGAGGGAUUAGCUACUCUAUGUCUUGGCUGACAAAAUUGCCCUCUAGUAGGCAGAAACUAGCUGCUUACUAUUUUUAUAUAGGUAAAAGUUGAAUUUUAUCAAAGUUCUCUAAAUUCCUUGAAGUUUCAACUUCAAGUAACAUUUAGAUUUUAGAUACAAGCGCUCACACAAUCAAUGCGAAGAUACCCCGAAUCAAUCAGUUUACUAUUUGUACCACUGGUUAACCAGUAACUUGCUGGAUUUUGUAACCUGCCCACUCAAUUUUUUCUUGUCUUUCUUUAUGGGCAUGUCAAGGGGGGACUUACAUGCACUGCUGAUCUCUGGAAACUUGGAUUCUAGGGUCCUAAUGGAAGCACCAGGAUUCCAAUGAAAUGGCAUAAAUAAACCCUUUUAAUUUUGGCAGAUGACCCUGCCGAUCUCUUUCUUGUUAAUGCACGUGAUUUUCAAAAUUUGUUUUUCUUGAUUAAAUAGCCAAUUCCAUUACAUCGCAAACAACUAAAACGGCAUAUUGUUCUUAGUUAUUUGACUCUGCAUGAAAGGGAAUUUGACCGACUUUCUGUUCCGAAAAAGGUCGAGGGACAGGGCAUGCUAUAUUUAUCGAAUCUGUUCUCGUUUAGGUGGUAUCUCCAGUCACCCCUGCUUGGUUGAUUUUCUGAAGUUAGGAACAUGAAAAAGUAUGUGAUAUAGUUGGCCACUGAACAAUGUUGUGUGAACAAUUUGUUCCGUGGACUAUUUCAUAUUGAUUGGUGAGAAAGCAAAUAUUUUAAAAUACUCUAUUCUACAAUGUAUCACGUCUUCGACAUCCCAUUGUCUCCAAUAAACACCGCAAAAAUUAUUAAACUUUUCAUGAUGAAUCUAAUGGCUCCAUUUUCAUACGAAAAGUUCUAAAGACCUUUUGAUAUGGAGUAAAUUUCAGAUUACUGCAACUAUUUUGUCGAAAUUAUCAAUUUACUGCAACUUUAUCUAGACAUUUCAGAGAACUGUGACAAUAGUGUAUGAUUUUAUCAGAGAACUGCAAUUUUAUUUGCUUGGCAUGUUUUGGGCCCGCCUGUCAUACAGACAUGCAAUACGUAUGCUGGUGUAAGCCAGGUCCACAUGUCAUACACAUGGGGGGUGGGGGGGGGGGGCAGUGUUGUUAAGGCGGUAAGGCGGUUUAAGGCGACCCACCACUGCCUUAGCGCUGAGGCGUAAGGCGUUGCGACGCCUUAUGAGAUGAUUGAGGCGUGAUUAGUGGAGGAUAUGGUAGAGAAAUUAGGAAGG